rnacentral:rRNA from 1 species
UGGGGAAUUGUUCACAAUGGGCGCAAGCCUGAUGACGCAACGCCGCGUGGGGGAUGAAGGUCUUCGGAUCGUAAACCCCUGUCGAAUGGGACGAAAGACUCGCGAGUGAAUACUUCGCGAGAGUGACGGUACCGUUAAAGGAAGCCACGGCUAACUCUGUGCCAGCAGCCGCGGUAAUACAGAGGUGGCAAGCGUUGUUCGGAAUUACUGGGCGUAAAGGGCGCGUAGGCGGCCCUCUAAGUCAGACGUGAAAUCCCCCGGCUUAACCUGGGAACUGCGUCUGAUACUGGAGGGCUUGAGUAUGGGAGAGGGAUGUAGAAUUCCAGGUGUAGCGGUGAAAUGCGUAGAUAUCUGGAGGAAUACCGGUGGCGAAGGCGGCAUCCUGGACCAUUACUGACGCUGAGGCGCGAAAGCUAGGGGANCAAACGGGAUUAGAUACCCCUGUAGUCCCUGAGCGGGCUGGCAAGGCGCAU